GUUGGUCUCGCGCCUUACGCGUGUGCUUGUCGAGUUUUAUGUUUGUUCGUUGUAUCGGGACGUCGUGUUUCAUUGUCACGUAUUCAUCUCCAAAACGAUAUUGUCAACGAUUUACCGUGACAAGAACAACUUUCCUGCUCCAUUCUACGAGCCUGCAACAGCAACUUGCACCUCAACGGAGCAACGCCGGUUCAGGACGAUGCCGGAAACGUAAAGGACGCUUUGGAGCGUCUACGAGAGGAUGAUGCAGAAAUGGUGACGACUUUCAGCGUUGAACAACCGGGCGUUCGUCCUGCGGGAGACAGAGACCAGAAGUAAGGAUGGCCUUUCACUGGGAUAAGCUCUCACCGGCGGAAUUCCAACAGCUACAGGAUUUAGCAGCUUAUUCUGCACGGAAGCUUCAGGAUGUCCUCACCGAAUUCUGCGGGUCAAACACAACGCCCAGCGGCGCGCCCAAGUACCAUCCGGACGGUG